rnacentral:lncRNA from 12 species
AUCAGACCGGAUCGGUUGAGUUCCUAGCCAAGAAUCGCGAUGGCUGUAUUUCAUAUCUGUUCCUGCCAUGAAUCUCUUUCACUCCAUAUCUGACUUUGCAGCAUCUCUUGCUCCACUGUAGUGACUCUGCAUGGAUCCUUAUCAAUCUCUGUUGGACUGGCUGUUAUCCUUUAUCAUUGGUCAUAUACUGGUUUUUAUCUGGCAGUGUCUUGCGAGAUUGAAAUUCCUUUUGCUUUGCCUCAGACGUGGUUACUCUCCCUGUCUCCCAGUCUAAAUGAGGUAAUACAGAAUCUAGCUUCUUGAUGUUCUUUAAAACAUACACAUGGUCUCAGGAGUACUAGAGUAUGUGUUCAUGUUGAGAAGAACUGUACAAAGAAAGGUAAGGUAGUCUUUAAAAAAAAAGGCUUACUAAUUCAAUGAAAAAAAAGGCAUAGAUUUCUUCUUGUAAAAUGAGCAUUAUUUAAUGCAAAGAAUAAAUUGGUAAAAAAUCUCUUUCUCUAAAUGUGG